UCCUAGCCAAGGCUCUAGAGUGCUUUCAUCCCCGCCCCCUUUAACUCCGCCUUAAUCCGCGUGCCUGAACCCUUGGUGUUCAGAAAGAGAACUGGGCUAGGGGAGGAGAAAGUGGAAGAGGCUGGCAACAGUCUGCCAGUUCUUGUGCCUCACUAACUUCCUCGGGCUAGAAAAGGACCCGCCCAAAGAGAUAUUAGCAUUGAUCCAUCUCAAAAUCAUGUGCAGAGAUGGCACAGAGUAGGAACGCACAGAAUCAGAGCUGGAAGGAACCCUCUCCUCAAGGUCAUCUAGCUCAAUCCAUCCCAGAAGAGGAAUCUCACUUAUGUACAUCCCUUUGGUGGAAAACUUUCAGAAACGGGAGCCUACAAACUCCGGAGUCAAUCCAUUUUACUCAGUUUCAAGUGUUUCCUUACAUUGAGACCUUCUGCAACCUACGAACUCACUACUUCUAGGUUUGCCCCUUGAAGACAAACAGAACAAAUGCCAUCACUUUGCCACAUAACUGCUCUUCAGAUUCUUGAAAGAGAAGAAGUCAGGGUACAUAUGCUAGUUGUAUGACACCUACCCUGCACUCCCUAUUCCCUCAUCAAACCAAAGGAAAAGUUAAAGGAGUUAAUGAGAGUGAAUACCUGAAAUCUUAGUUCUGGCAUCUUGAGCACAGGCACAGAUUAAGGAAUACUAACUCAUAAUAACAGGAAUGUAUCCACUUUGCUUGCCAUUCACAUUACUCUUCAUACUGGGUCUUCUAUGUUGUUGAAUAUAAAAUAAAUAAUAAUUAUACAAAA